UACGUAGGGGGGCUAGCGUUGUCCGGAAUCAUUGGGCGUAAAGAGCGUGUAGGCGGCCCGGUAAGUCCGCUGUAAAAGUCAAAGGCUCAACCUUUGAAUGUCAGUGGAUACUGCCGGGCUAGAGUCCGGAAGAGGCGAGUGGAAUUCCUGGUGUAGCGGUGAAAUGCGCAGAUAUCAGGAAGAACACCAAUGGCGAAAGCAGCUCUCUGGGACGGUACUGACGCUGAGACGCGAAAGCGUGGGGAGCGAACAGG
rnacentral:rRNA from 1 species